GGACAUUUGUCAAGUAAUAACCUAGAUACAUAACUCACAUUUUUUUGUUAUGUAUAUAUCGUGCCAUGUUUUGUUUACAUUUCUGUUUUACGUCAAGUUUUACUUUCUGCUGAAUGACUAUGUAUGUAAACUUCAAACGAUUUGUAGUUGUGUUAGUUUUGUAUAUAUAUUGCUUAUGUACCAGAUUAUUUGGUUUUAGUGAAUAAACUUAACUUGAACUUAAACAUGGGUUGUACAUUCUGGUAAAAAAUUCAUUUGUUUUCUUUACAUUAUUUUAUUUGCAAGGUAAUCAUGAACAUAAUUAGCUUUUAAUGUUGUCACUUGUUAUUUUGUUAUGGAUAAUAUAUUUUCCAUUCAGCAACUUUAUACAUGUAUGUAAACAAAAUAUAACAAAAUCCUUUUUAAUAUAACAAAAUGUAUCGUCAAACUCUUUAUCUCAAUUAUAUUUUGAUAACUGACUGAAGAAAACAGUUACAUGUAUAAUAAUAGGCAUUGUAAAUAUUUACAUUGGGAAAGUAAACUUUGAGGGAAAAAUAUCGUGAGCAUGCUCUUCUAAUUUUGAAUUAUACGUGUAUAUAAACAAUGAAAAUAUUUUAAGUAU
rnacentral:misc_RNA from 1 species